CCAGAUGGUUGGAUGGCCGCUGUUCGUGUUCCCUCGGGAGGACGGGCAGAGGAAAGUCCGGGCUCCACGGAAACACGGUGCCGGGUAACACCCGGCGAGGGCGACCUUAGGGAAAGUGCCACAGAAAGCAAACCGCCCGUCCAUCCCGGUUCUUGGAUCGGUUCGACGGGUAAGGGUGAAAGGGUGCGGUAAGAGCGCACCGCGCCGGCGGUAACGUCGGUGGCAGGGUANNNNNNNNNNGGAGCAAGACCAAAUAGAGACGGCACGCCACUUUGCUUUCGGGCAGUGGCAGGCGGUGUUUCCGCGCCGCCGUCCGGGUAGGUUGCACGAGGCGCCGGGCAACCGGCGUCCCAGAUGAAUGGUCAUCACCGCGUCCUUUAGGCCGCGGAUACAGAACCCGGCUUACAGACCAUCUGGCACU
rnacentral:RNase_P_RNA from 1 species